UGGAGAGGUCCUAUUUAGGGCUGAGUGUUCCCUCUGUAUAAUGCCUGGCUGUGAGCCCCUUAUUUACCCUUGCUUCUAGUGGAAGCUUCUCUGAUGAUGCCGGAGCAAGGCCCUUCUCAAGCAAGGGGUAUGAGGAAUCCCUUGGGAGGACCCAGAGACAACCUUCCUUGCAGACCGUUCAUCUUAUCCAUUGCAAGACAAGUCCCCCCAAACAGCUCAGAAAAGCAAAGUCACGCUCUACUGUUGGAGGCACCAGCGGAAUCCCAAAGCUCAAAGGCUUUUGAUCUAGAGAGGUUUGAGAGCAUUGUCCCAACAGCCAGCUGUAGAGAUGACCGUCGGAGAACUGCAGAUGCCGCUCAACAGGACGGGAAGUAUUGAAAUGAUAAAACAGCUCAAAGCAAGACACCUGAAUUUCAAGGAAAGCACCUAAGCCCUGGAGAUUGCCUCAGGUAACUUUAAGUCCUGGAAGUUGGGUUUUCCUGAGUUGAAAACAAUAUGUGGAGUUCACAUAUGAUGCGGAAACAGUAACCCACCAAGCACAGAUCUCAAAG